GCGCCGCAAGGCUUAAUCGGGAAUCCGGUGAGAGUCCGGAACUGUCCCCGCAACUGUAAAUGUGGACGAAAUGGAGAACCACUGUAUUGGAAGGGUUGAAUCGCCGCCAAUAUGGGAAGGACCAGAGUAGAGAGAAGCAUAAGUCAGGAGACCUGCCUAGUAA
rnacentral:ncRNA from 1 species